CAGCUGAACCUUGUGUCAAAACACAGGGAACUCAGCAGCAGCAGCAACAUCUCGGUCGGACUCAGCUUCACCUCUGUGUUCUCCUCGGAAAGUAUUCGUCGCGAAGUGUUUUCCAUCCACGUCCUCGUACCAUGACCGAACAAUCAGCACUACUUCUUCGAAAACAACUGGCAGAGCUCAACAAGAACCCCGUGGAGGGCUUUUCAGCUGGCCUCAUAGACGAUGAUGACAUAUACAAAUGGGAGGUUGUGAUCAUUGGUCCACAAGAUACCCUUUUUGAAGGAGGUUUUUUCAAAGCAUACCUAACCUUCCCUUAUGAUUAUCCUCUACGGCCUCCAAAGAUGAAGUUUAUCACUGAACUCUGGCACCCGAAUGUUGCAAAGAAUGGGGAUGUUUGCAUCUCGAUCCUGCACGAGCCGGGCGAAGAUAAGUUUGGUUAUGAAAAGCCUGAGGAGCGUUGGCUUCCAAUCCACACAGUAGAGACAAUCAUGAUUAGUGUUAUCUCCAUGCUGGCGGACCCCAACAGUGAUUCACCAGCUAAUGUGGAUGCGGCGGAGUCUGAUGUCGCUCCCACAGAAAGAGUGGAGGGAGGACCCUAACGGUGAAUUUAAGAGGAAGGUGGCUCGCUGUGUAAGAAAAAGUCAAGAGAUGGCGUUUGAUUAGGAAUCACUUGUAAAUUCCAGGUUAAAGGAUGCCUUCAGAGGGAAAAUUUCAGCAAAAGGCUUUUGCACCCCUUGUUUUGCCAGUCGAAGGAAUUGGUUGACCCCAACCGCAUUACUUUGAGCGGUUGUCAUUUUCCGCAAGAUGAGCCAAUUUGAGAACCUUACCAGCAAAAUUAACCUGUUUCCUACCUGGAAUUGUAUAUUUAAUUUUAUUUAUUUUGAAAAAAUUAAUGAUGUAAGAUAUGUCACUACUGUAAAUUAACUUGCUUUUUUAUCUGCUGCUGAACAGUUUCUACUUUAUACCAGGUUUCUUAUGCAAUUUAGUGGUCAAGAUUGUGUAAAACAAACAAAAGCCCGUUGUCAUUAGGUCGUAACUCGUCCUCCCGCUGCACUUGUUCCACCAGAUUAACGUCGGCCCGCUAAUCUCCUUCAUUGGUGUUAUUUAUUUUCAACACUGUCAUUGAAUCACUAUUGCCUUUUGUUGGCCUCACCUCCUCACAGUUUGUUUGUUGCUCAGAGGGACAGGUUGAGAUCUUAAAAAGGAACUUUUCUUUCUGAGGAACAGCCUCCUGUUAGUUUUUUGUUAUGUUGGUGAACGUCUGACUCUCAAGCCUGCAUGAUCUUCUUAAACAGCCGUUAUCUGUUAUUGCCAGCUGUGGAUGAACACAUGCAAGGGAUCUGAGUGAUAUCGUUUUCGACCAUGAUGAUGUGCACUAACAGAAGGUUCCAGACAACUUCUCCGUAUCAGACUUUUGCUCAAACUCAAUUUUUAGCGAUCAGUAAAAUCAUCAUUGAAUAUUCGUGACUCUUUUCCUCAACACAUGGCCCUCAUCAUCAAUGAAGAUGUUUAUUAUUCCCCACUCAGUCUAAUGACUUCACAACGCUACGAUCAAUCAUGGACAACCAAAACCAGUCUGUGAAAAUUACCUAAACUGUGAUUAUUCCUCGUGUCCACUGGUUACCUGGCGUUUGAGCUUUUCCUUUUUCUAAGGAACUAAUUUAAAAAGGGUUUUUGGGUUGUUCUUGGUAACAUGAAUUUAGGGGCACCAUAGUAGAAUAUUAGGCUAGUUGUUCUUUCCUUCUUUGUUGUGGCACAUUUGGCUCUCGAUCGAUGUGUCGUUAAACCACGAUGUGCAAGUCACAUUCACUCGUGGGUUUAGACUCUGAGGACAUUGGGUAGAUUGCUGAGUUACUCAACAUCUUGAGUUCUGAUUGGUGCACACCUGAUGAUGAUGUUUUCACCUUAUACUUUAUCGCUGAAUUUGGGCUGGGAUUCUUUAUAGACACUUGAAAAAGAGAACUCACCACUAAGUAAAGUAUAAGUUAGUUUCGUGAUGGGGAAUGAACACUAUAGGUAUUAUUUUUAAAGACCAUAAACGCUAGGGUUCAGGUGAAGUCUUGUUCACUUUCAUUGAUGGUGUUGCUGACUAUUAGGCCAUGAUGACAUCUACUUUGAAUUAUGAAAUCCAUAUUUAUAAUUAUGUGACUGACAUUGAAUAACAGCUAACCAUCUUUUGGCGCAUGCAAUCAGGUUUUGAAGGAGUUGGAUAUGUUUUGAAUAGUAUACCAUUGUUAGUACACUCUGGGUGUCAUGUGUACAGUUGGUAGAUUUCUGUAGACUUGAUGAUCACAUAACUGCUGUCGACAUUACCUUUUUAAAUUUUCUAACCUACCAUGACCUCCUCUGACCGGUGUUCACUGUAUUUGCACAGAUUCGGUGCGUUUGAAAUGUCAUUAAGCAAUACGCUCUGAAAAUGGUGUGUCCAGGUUAAUCCACCCAUACGCCAUUCUUUGUUUUGAGUUUUUCUUUUUUCCAUUUUGUGUCAAUGCAAUGUAUAUUGGACAUGAUGCUCAAUAAAGUGUGUAAACAGA